rnacentral:rRNA from 1 species
CCCUUAGAGUUUGAUCCUGGCUCAGGAUGAACGCUGGCGGCGUGCUUAACACAUGCAAGUCGAGCGAAGCGCUUAAGUUUGAUUCUUCGGAUGAAGACUUUUGUGACUGAGCGGCGGACGGGUGAGUAACGCGUGGGUAACCUGCCUCAUACAGGGGGAUAACAGUUAGAAAUGACUGCUAAUACCGCAUAAGACCACGGUACCGCAUGGUACAGUGGUAAAAACUCCGGUGGUAUGAGAUGGACCCGCGUCUGAUUAGGUAGUUGGUGGGGUAACGGCCUACCAAGCCGACGAUCAGUAGCCGACCUGAGAGGGUGACCGGCCACAUUGGGACUGAGACACGGCCCAGACUCCUACGGGAGGCAGCAGUGGGGAAUAUUGCACAAUGGAGGAAACUCUGAUGCAGCGACGCCGCGUGAAGGAUGAAGUAUUUCGGUAUGUAA